rnacentral:tRNA from 1 species
UAGUAAAAUUGAAUUUUUCUAAUUAAUGAAAUUAAUAUAAAAAAAGGCUUCUAACUUUUUUUA